CCUACGGGAGGCAGCAGUGGGGAAUAUUGGACAAUGGGCGAAAGCCUGAUCCAGCAAUGCCGCGUGAGUGAUGAAGGCCUUAGGGUUGUAAAGCUCUUUUACCAGGGAUGAUAAUGACAGUACCUGGAGAAUAAGCUCCGGCUAACUCCGUGCCAGCAGCCGCGGUAAUACGGAGGGAGCUAGCGUUGUUCGGAAUUACUGGGCGUAAAGCGUACGUAGGCGGUUAUUCAAGUCAGAGGUGAAAGCCUGGAGCUCAACUCCAGAACUGCCUUUGAAACUAGAUAGCUAGAAUCUUGGAGAGGUGAGUGGAAUUCCGAGUGUAGAGGUGAAAUUCGUAGAUAUUCGGAAGAACACCAGUGGCGAAGGCGACUCACUGGACAAGUAUUGACGCUGAGGUACGAAAGCGUGGGGAGCAAACAGGAUUAGAUACCCUGGUAGUCCACGCCGUAAACGAUGAUAACUAGCUGUUCGGGCUCUACGAGCUUGAGUGGCGCAGCUAACGCAUUAAGUUAUCCGCCUGGGGAGUACGGUCGCAAGAUUAAAAACUCAAAAGGAAUUGACGG
rnacentral:rRNA from 1 species